CAAAGGGGAGCUCAUGGAAGUGGGCUGAGAGGAAGCUGUUACGCUUCGACCCAAGAACCUGAUUUGGAUAAUGCCAACGUAGGGAUGCAUAUAA
rnacentral:ncRNA from 1 species